rnacentral:lncRNA from 10 species
CAGAAAGCCAAUCACUGAGACAGUGAGUAUUGCCAGGCAAGAAGGCUUUAAUCAGGUGCUGCGGCCCAGGAGUUGGGAAAUCAGUCUCAAAUCAACUGCCUGAGUGACUAAAAUUAAGGCUUUAUAUAGCAGAGAAGAAAUGUAACCAUGCAUGGAAGAACAAGAGUUAGGGAGGAGCAAAGAAGAGGAGUCAGUCAACAGGAAGCAGGUAGUGGGUUAGGCAAUCAUGACAAAAGAGUGGUUUCACCUCCCAUUGCCCAGAUGCUGUGAUUUGGUAAGUUUCAAUGUCUUGCUACUAUCUGGGAGGCCUGAUGGUUGGAUGAGAAAGGAACUCAGAGAAAACAAAUGUAACUUACUCAUGUUUCAAGACUGGGAGGGUCAAUUUCUAUGUCUAUUCAAAACAACCAUACACAUCAGUCCUAUGGGACAAUUGGGCUGGUUUCAAAUACUCAUUGCAUGGAUAUAUACAAUCUUUUAAAAAUCCUUUCACCUGUUGGUGGACAUUGGAUUGUUUCUACUUUUUGGCUAUCAUCCAUAAAUUCAUUAAAAGAAUUUUCAUGGAUAUAUUCUCUAAGGUAAAUGCCUAGGAGUGAAAUGGCUAGACCAUAGUGGCUGUGAGUGUUGGCUGUUGGUUGACAGAGGAGCUGCAUCCUCCUGGAGGAAACUGAACUCAGCUGAUGAAAGCCACCUGGUCCUGGAGGUGAAGCAUCUUCCAAAUGACAGCCUGCAGUCAAUGACUGAUGAAUAUGACUUCAUUGCCUCAUGACAGGACCUACUCUGGGGUAUAGAUCAUGCUUCUAAGCUCCUCCUGGGGUCCUGCUGAGGCUCAAUGCCAGCUGAAACCAUACCCUUGCUCACAUACUUUCCCUUCUCUUUCCUUCUUCCCUUGCUUCCUUAGAGAUUCCUCCUGCAAUGGCUUCCUCAAAAAAGCAUUUUCAUAAGCAACCUCAUGUCAGCCUCUGCUUCCACAGAAGCCAAUCUGAGUUAAGCAGCUGUUUAACUUAGCAUGUCCAACAUAAAAUUCUUGUUUUCUUCUCAUCCCCUGCCCCUGAACGUUCUCCUUUGCCUGUCUUUCUUAUCUCAUUGAAAGUAACAACACAAGUAUCAAGUGAAAAUAAAAGAAUCUUCUCUGAUUUCUUUCUUUCUAAUGUAUUAUUAAAUUCUACUGAUAUUACCAAUAUCUAUUCAAAUACCAACCUAGUCUAAGAUACUAUCAUCUGUCUUCUAGACUUCAACUGGGUUCCUAACACUGAUGGUAUUACACAAUUUUUGCAAUGAAGUCUUACCCACCUAUAAUCCAUUUUCCAUAAAGCAGCAUUAUCAUUUUCUAAGUCACACACUGUAGUUUUAAUACAAUCCCAAACUAACAAGCUUGAAGAAAUAAAAUUAUUGUUAAAAUUGUAAAAAUUACGGAGUCUUAUAUUUAACUAAUCAUGGUACCUUUCCUCAAUAUCAAUUAUACCAAACACUUCCAAUGCAUAAAUUCACUAAAUUACUUGUCUCUGAAUAGUAAUAAUUAUUGUAAAACUCAAUUAAAAUGGUGUUUCUAUCUAAGUCAUUUCCAAAUGACGAGUUGAUGGGUGCAGCAAACCAACAUGGAACAUGUAUACCUAUGUAACAAACCUGCACGUUGUGCACAUGUACACCAGAACUUAAAGUAUAAUAAUAAAAAAUAAAGUAUUACAGAACAUGGUCAAUUAUAUUAAAAAGUAGAUUAAUUAAUGUCCAUAUAUACAUUUUUUGGUGGAA